UACGUAGGGUGCGAGCGUUGUCUGGAAUUAUUGGGCGUAAAGCGCGUGUAGGCGGCUUGGCAAGUCGGGUGUGAAAGCCCUGGGCUCAACCUAGGAAGUGCACUCGAAACUGCUUGGCUUGAGUACUGGAGAGGGAAGCGGAAUUCUCGGUGUAGAGGUGAAAUUCGUAGAUAUCGAGAGGAACACCGGUGGCGAAGGCGGCUUCCUGGACAGUAACUGACGCUGAGACGCGAAAGCGUGGGGAGCAAACAGG
rnacentral:rRNA from 1 species